GCGGCUCGUCGCGUCCGGUGUGAAAGUCCAUCGCUUAACGGUGGAUCUGCGCCGGGUACGGGCGGGCUGGAGUGCGGUAGGGGAGACUGGAAUUCCCGGUGUAACGGUGGAAUGUGUAGAUAUCGGGAAGAACACCGAUGGCGAAGGCAGGUCUCUGGGCCGUCACUGACGCUGAGGAGCGAAAGCGUGGGGAGCGAACAGGAUUAGAUACCCUGGUAGUCCACGCCGUAAACGGUGGACGCUGGAUGUGGGGCACGUUCCAUGUGUUCCGUGUCGGAGCUAACGUGUUAAGCGUCCCGCCUGGGGAGUACGGCCGCAAGGCUAAAACUCAAAGAAAUUGACGGGGGCCCGCACAAGCGGCGGAGCAUGCGGAUUAAUUCGAUGCAACGCGAAGAACCUUACCUGGGCUUGACAUGUUCCCGACGACGCCAGAGAUGGCGUUUCCCUUCGGGGCGGGUUCACAGGUGGUGCAUGGUCGUCGUCAGCUCGUGUCGUGAGAUGUUGGGUUAAGUCCCGCAACGAGCGCAACCCUCGCCCCGUGUUGCCAGCACGUUGUGGUGGGAACUCACGGGGGACCGCCGGGGUUAACUCGGAGGAAGGUGGGGAUGACGUCAGAUCAUCAUGCCCCUUACGUCCAGGGCUUCACGCAUGCUACAAUGGCCGGUACAGCGGGAUGCGACAUGGCGACAUGGAGCGGAUACCUGAAAACCGGUCUCAGUUCGGAUCGGAGCCUGCAACCCGGCUCCGUGAAGGCGGAGUCGCUAGUAAUCGC
rnacentral:rRNA from 1 species